UCCAAUCUCCUGAAUUUUGUUACUACUUUCUCCCAAAAAGUGUAUUCCAAUCAUAGCACCUAAGACCUUAUCUAGCAACUGUAAUAAAGAGCGACCCAAUCGAUGUGGAGAGGCACCCCUUUCCUUGAGGGAAAACCCACCACAGCAACACUUAGAUUUCAUUUGUCACUCAAGGUCCUAUUGGGUUUGUUCACUAUCAUUAAUUAGGCCACUAACUAAAAGCAGAUCCUUCCAUCAAGGAUGUUGCUGUGGACUCCUUUAACAGAAGAGCUCAAAUGACAUCCCAAAGUUCCCGAAAAUAGCUUCAUUCUAACUCACCUCAACAUGGCCGUCCAGUGGACAAAGCCAAAGGAAACGUGACAUUUUUUUUUUCAAGACAGGGUUUCUCUAUAGCUUUGGAGCCUGUCCUGGAACUAGCUCUUGUAGACCAGGCUGGCCUCGAACUCAGAGAUCGGCCUGCGCCACCACCGCCCGGCAAUAAAUCCUCUUUUAAUCGUUGGAAAGCGCCAAAGGUAAGACUUUAAAAGGAAACCUAAUGCCAUGGGGGUUUGCACUUAAUUCAUGCUCCUCGUCCUUUUCACACAGCCUCCAAAUAAGGGAUGUCCUCUCUAACUCGCGCUAUAUUUAGUCGGCGGCUGCCUGUCACCUUGGAGGCCUAAGGACAUGCCCAACCACACUCGUGCGCAUUUUCAGUGACCGGAAGUCGUGGAUAAUGGAGAUAGCAUGUUUGGAGACACCAGCCCCCACUUCUAACCCAGGGGCUCGGGCAGGGAGCGGCCGACAGCUCCGCUUCGCCCCGAUGCCACAUGCGGUGAACACGUGGUUGCCGCUGCAAUGCGGGGCGCGCGCUCCCGACGGCCGGACGCGAGCACGCGGGGCGGGGUCGCCCACUUGAGAUUUUUCCAGACGACGGGACUAAAGAGGAGGAAACAGGGCCCUCCCCGCGCCGGUCGCUGGCCCCCGCCCUUCUCAUUUUCUGGAACCUUCCGCGUGCCGGGGCGCGCCGCCGGAUGGGGAUGAGAGAAAGGGGGGAGGGGAGCGGCGGCCGCACACUGCAACCUCCGGGAACCACACGAGGGCGGCGCGCGGCCGCCGCUGUUCUCACCGAGCCGGACGGCCUCGACCCCCAGCGCCACCGCCCCGUCCUUCUCCCGAGUCCCCCGUCCGCUCACCUGGGUGACCUUCCCCCACAGACUCCGAGGUGAAGAGGAACGUCCCCUCCUCAAUGAACGCCUCGUGGAAGCCGUUGAGCUGACCGUUCAUGGCGGCGGUGGUGAGAGGACACGACUCGGAGGACACGGAGCGGCGGCGAGGCAGGGAGCUGCUAAGCGCGCAGAGCAAGCCAGCAUUAACUCGGGACUUUCACAAGACUGGACCCAUUAACUUCCCAUUAUGGAGGUGAGGAAUUAGUGCACACCAGGAACUCACAGAAUUCUGGAUUGGAAAUGGAAAAAAAAGAAAAGAAUCUGAUGUGGACCAGAUUGCUGCUGAAGAUACCACAUCAGGAAAGAUGACCAGGAACUUCCCAGUCUUUACAACCUAAACCAUCUCGGCCUCUCAAACACUCAAGAAAUGUUUGUGCCUACGAUAAGAAAUGAACUCUCUGAAAGAAGAAAUCCUAAAACCCAGCUGGGAUCCAGAAAACAGACUCUCAGGCCCGCAGUGCUGGGAAUCGAUUUCACGGCUUUGCACACGCUGAGCAAGAUCUCUACUCUUGAGUCCCAGCCGCUGGCUCUUAACUGAAAGUGAGGACCACCGUUCUCAGACGUCCCCGCACCUUCCAGCCAUCCCAAUGGAUUGCCUUCCUUUUCCUCGUCUCGAGGAUUGUGUGUCAUUUGUCUGGUUUCUAUGUGCUUGCUGCUAAUUCAGCCCUGCCCCUCCAGCUCCCCAGGCUCAGCAAUCACAUCUAUUGGAACAUCCCCAAACCCUCUAGACGUGCCUGACUUCCUGGUGAUCCUCAGUUCACUUCCGGAGGGAGAGUUUUACUCUGCUCACUAACGAGAGUGGGUUCCAAAGCUCCAUGAUCCAGGCUGACCUCCUCCAUCUUCUGCCUCUGAGGUUUGAAAUUAGGGGCCAUUUUAAAUUCUUAUCUCUCCAUUGGCACAGGGACUCGGUUAGUCACCGUGACUUAGUCAUGUAAACCUGACACAUAGGUCAGGUAGAACAGAGCCCCACCUGGGACUGGCAUUAGGACAGAAGUCGGAUAUGGACAUCAAACAUAGUCUAUGGUGGCUGUUUAGAUGGCUCAGUGGGUAAAGGGAUUUCCUAUAAGCCUGGAAACCUGAGUUCCAUCCUGAGAACCCACGAAAAGGUAGAAAGAGGGGCUGGAGAGAUGAUGGGUCAGUGGUUAA